rnacentral:lncRNA from 1 species
AUAAUUUAAACCCCUUGUAACCAGUGAUUUUUCUUAAAUGAAAUUACUCUAAAAAAUAUGGCACCUAAAAUUAUCCAUUCUAUGCAUUCGUACAGAUAUACUCUUCCUUAAUUCUUUUUUUGAACCCUUUUAGACGUGUGCAUCCCAGUCGAAAAUUUAUCACGAUGCAUAGAAGCUGAAAUGUUAGUCAACAAAGAUUCUUAUUAAAAAAACAUACCUUUGUUAAGUUUCUUCUCGUGUUUUCGAAAAUCCACUUUACCAACUUUUGCUUUUUUGUUCAUAGGAUUUUUGAUUGCCAAAUCUUCACUAUCGGAAGCAUCCCUUUUAUUAUCCACGACUUUUUUAUCACCUCUUGAACGACGUACGCGCCAAAUUCGUUGCAACCAUUCUUUAUCAGUCUCAUUCUCUGCAAAUGCUUCUAGUUCCUUUAAUGAAAACACUCUCAGCAUACGAUCCAGAAGUUGUUUGGCCUUUAACUUGACAUACGCAUUAUGCUCUUUGAUCCAUCGAAGAAUUAAAGGAAGUAAAGUAUCCAAAUGAAAUAAAACCUUAGACUUUGUAAAAGAAGUGAUAUACAUUUUGAUAAAACCUACGGCGGCACGAGCGAUUUCUUGAUUGUUAGACUGUAAACUCGACUGCACUUCUUCAAGUACAGCAUUUACAUAAUCAUCAUCUAUGUAAUCUGGAUUAAAGUUAGAAAAUUUACAAGAUAUAUAAUGCAUACCAGAAAACUCAUAAAAGAUUCUUGUGAGAGCAAAAAUCGUAGAAACUUUCAAGUUCAAAGAAUCGUUCAUGAGGUUAGCAGAAAUCAUUGAAAUAUAUUCAUUAAUGUUUGCUUCCACAACUGUUUUAUUUGGUUCCUCUCCAUCGAUUAGAGACAUAUUUAUCUUCCCCCCAUUCUUCAUCCGAUUUCCUACCUCCACUAGCAACUCAAAAGCCAUAGCACGCAAGUCAUCGUCAUGGUGCUUAGAAAAUAACACAACUUCUGCGAUGGCAGAAGGCAAAAGAUGAAACUCGUCGUUAGGAAGGAGUUUAAAUAAAAGCUUCCAAGUCUUAAGUCGUUCAAGUGCGACAUAUUUGGGUAGUGCCUGACUGCCAUCACCAACGCUGUUCAUCGAAUCAUAUAACCGGGAUAUAACGGGAACUAUAGCAGAGAUCAUUCUUUCGUUACUGAGCGUAGCCUGAAGCAAACGGUAGGCUAAGCCUGGUCCAAAAUUGAGAACAGACAAUGAUUGACUUAAAUUACUUGGAAUAGCAAUAUCAAAAAGCUUAACUAGAUGAGGAAGAAAUGGUUUCCAAGUAUCGGCAGGGGAGAUUGACAACAAAGCAGGAAACAGCUUUAUCACACCAGUACUUCCUAAAGAAGGCUCACUAAGAGGAGCAGAUUCACAUAAAUUUGUGAUAAUUUGCAGCUGUUGAUCACCGGCAACAGAAAAUAUGGAAGUAGCAGCCAUUACUAAGUCUUCGGCAUUUGAAUCAUCAUUCUUCAUUGUAGCUAAGGUAUUACCAAGGACACCAAUUAAAUUGGAAGAAUUGGAGGAAAUUAGCUGACGAACGUUUUCAAUUUUCGUCAAAUCGACAAAGGCUUGAGCCACAUGCGAAUGACAACUUCGGUCAUUAUAAAUGGCUGAAGCAAGUUUUUUAAGCGUGUUUUCAUUCAAAUUAUUGGUAAUGCACCCAGCUUUCGUGUAUAGUGGUAGAAGUUCCCACCAUUGGGAAUUGCCAGCUUCAAUAGUAGGUAGGAAGCAGUCGAAAAAUGUUUCAGGUGUCUCACCAGUAAUGUUGUCACGAAAUACUUCGGGAAGCCAAUGUGAUUUCUGAAUAUUACAGAAGUUAUCGGCAAAACCUAAACAUUCCAAAAAAGUGGGGGAGGCGAGCUUUUGAAUAAAAAUCUUAAAAAGAUCCAGACAUUCAGGCGUUUCUACCAACUUGUUCUUGAUAAUUGCACGAGCCACAACAGAGAAGGCUGGUAGGAGUUCGGAAAUCUGGUCCUCGGGUAUUGCUCCUAAGAGUAACUGAAGAUACACUGAGCAUCGAGGAAGCGCUUUUGCAUAAUUAGCAUGACGACUUGAAGCCGUGAUAGUUUUUAUUACCUUCUUAAUUCCGUUCGAAAGUACAGUUGCCCAGUUUUUUUUAUUGACAAACUUCAUAGUAAAUUUGUUUCGCAAAAAUUUCAAAGAGUUUAAUAUGUCAGAGCUAGUGGCCCCGUCAUAUUCUACAUCAGAUUCACUUGAUUGUAACGGACUAAUGCAAAAAUCCAAAAUUUUUUCUAAUAAAGUUUGUAUGCCCUUAAUGCCACGAGAUGGGUUUCUAUUUACAAAAUUAUCAUAAAGUAAAAGCGUAACUGAGAGAGCCCGAUACCAAUAAGGGAUUAAUGAAUCACAUAAUUCGUAGAUAACGGCAUCUGACAGCGCAUCAAUUCUUUCCGAAAGCACUUUUAAUAUCAACUUUAUUGACAUUUCAAAAAUGGGUUCAGAGGUUGGAAUAUUUGAAGUCAAUAUUCUUGACAAGGCAUUGCAGAUGAUGCCUAGAUCAGAUCCACUCGCUUGGUUUAUGUCGACAAGACACUCCAGUAAAUGUAAAGUAUGAAGCCCCUUGGAAAACGAGGGAUUGUCCAUAUUUGAAACUUCAGACAAACUUCUUUGAAGUUCAUCAAAAAUAGCGGGAUAUAAAUGAGGCAGUAAACCAUCAUACUUUUGUUUUAGCGUUUGGAGUACCUGUAUAGAAAUUUUACGAACCUUAGGUCUAAGGUCAACUGAAAAUUUCACCAGCAAAGGCAUUACAACAUCGACAGCCUUCAAAUACAACUCUUUGGAUUCAUUAGAAAAAGAAAGAAGAAACUCUUGGGUACAGUUUAAUGCGCAGCGAAUAGUUGGAGCAUCAUCAUUAUUUUUUUGAAGAUAUGGUACAAUUUGCGUAUACAAUAAAUCAAUGUGCAACAACUUUUCGUCUGAGGGAGUAGCAGGCAUUACAAUUGACAAAAUGUAUAUCGACGAAUAAUCAAACCCAUUACUUUGCUUGAUUAAAGCUAGAAGAGCAGAAAAGUAAACUGAUGCUGUACGUUGUAAACUUUUGGAAUCAAUAUAAUUAUCAAUUGAAUGUAGUAAUAUUGCAGGGAGCCUCUGGUUUUCAAGUUUAGAAUUUUUGUGCGAACGUAUGCUCUGCAACAUUCGUUCACAUGCGUCUGUCUUUGGCAUUU